rnacentral:rRNA from 1 species
UACGUAGGGUCCGAGCGUUAAUCGGAAUUACUGGGCGUAAAGCGUGCGCAGGCGGUUUUGUAAGCCAGAUGUGAAAUCCCCGGGCUUAACCUGGGAACUGCAUUUGGGACUGCAAGGCUCGAGUACGGCAGAGGGAGGUGGAAUUCCACGUGUAGCAGUGAAAUGCGUAGAGAUGUGGAGGAACACCGAUGGCGAAGGCAGCCUCCUGGGCCAGUACUGACGCUCAUGCACGAAAGCGUGGGGAGCAAACAGG